UCCUAUACAGAAUCAAUUUCAAUAAUUAGAAAGAAUACGAAUACCAUAUUUCAACGAUUUAGAUUGGGUCCGAUCAUCUAAUUUCAUCUAAUCAAAAUCUAAUUAGAACCUAAACGAUCCAAAGUUUGACUAUCAGAUCAAAUCGGAUUUGAAGUGAUAUGACCGAGGUUUCUUCAUCGAUUUCAUAAAAUCAAGUGGAGAGAGAAAAUCAGAGGAGAGAGAAUUCAUGAGGUACAAUUCGAAUUGAUCAGGUGACACAAUCCAACAUUAUGAUUGGUCCAAUAUCUCGAGUGGUGAAAUCAACAUGAUCAAAUCAAGUCAUGACUAGAUCGGGAUCAUGGAUGAUCAAAUCUAAAGAUUCAUGGUCUGAUCAAGGUGGGUGCCAGUAUGCUGUCUAACAAUCAUGGAUCAGGAUUCUUCAUUAGAAUC
rnacentral:lncRNA from 1 species